UACGGGGGGAGCAAGCGUUGUUCGGAUUUACUGGGCGUAAAGGGCGCGUAGGCGGUCAGCACAAGUCAGUUGUGAAAUCUCCGGGCUUAACUCGGAAAGGUCAACUGAUACUGUGCGACUAGAGUGCAGAAGGGGCAACUGGAAUUCUCGGUGUAGCGGUGAAAUGCGUAGAUAUUGGGAAGAACACCGGUGGCGAAGGCGGCCAUCUGGACCGCAACUGACGCUGAGGCGCGAAAGCGUGGGGAGCAAACAGG
rnacentral:rRNA from 1 species